rnacentral:tRNA from 1 species
AAUUUUAAAGGUAAGGCAGAAUAAUGUGUAGGAUUUAAGCUCCUAUUAUGGGUGUUCCCCCUUAAAAGG